rnacentral:lncRNA from 1 species
UCCACCAUGUGAGGACACAGGAACCAGAAAGUAGACCCUCACCAGGCAUGGAAUCUGCCAGUGCCUUGAUCUUGGACUUCCAGCUUCCAGAACUCUGUGGGCACUGUUGGAGAAGUAUAAUGGAAAACAAAAUCUCCCAACCCAGAAAUCCUCUCUACAAAGGUAGCAAAGAAAGAAAACACUCUCAUUAUUGAGAAAAACAUUAAACCAGAAAGUGUUACACACCACAAGCAAUCUGCUAAGAGACAGCCAAGACAGAAAGGAAGCUCACCUGCUUAUGGAGCCAAGCAGACACAGCUCGUUCCACACACGUUUUCAAGACGGACAGUAACUGUUACCAACUGAGUCAGCUUUUCCCCUAAAGAUGGUAUCGUGAAGCCAAUACAUGAAACCCAAAGCGAGCCUCAAGCAGUGCGGACUUUAUUCAAUGGCCAAAGAAUGGAGAAGCAGGAGCAUGGCCGCAAGUCAACUUCUUGUCUAGUGAGAGUUUUUCAGGAUCACAGCUGUUAUACAAAGCUCUGUGUACCAACAAUGCAUAUAUCACCAGGCUCAUAUACAAUUUUCUUAGAGGAGCUCAAUACCCUGUGGACUUAAAUUAAGAACCAUAAAACUGCUUGAGAGUGGACAAAGAGAAGAUAACCAUUUUUCCUAUCUUACUGAAAAUAGAAGCAGAACAAUCACUCGGACUCACAUCAUAGGACUAAUUAUGGAUGGAGCAUAUUAGAUGAUAAAAUAAAAACUAACAGGAAAGGAAAGCAUGACACUAGCUUUGGUAUUCAGUCAUGGCUUAGAGUUACUAGCCUCAUCUGGGUAUAGCAGACAAGCUCUGGCCUUAGGAAAAUAUUAUACUCUACACUUUGAUGACUCCCCUAAAAACAAAACAACUAAAACAAUUG